GAGGAGACUGUAACGUAUCCCUAAUUGAGCACCCAGGUGGUGUGACACUUCUGCCCUGUCCCUGCCCUCAGAGGAGAUUCUGACAUAUCACUGCCCCAAAAUGCAGCACCUGAGUAAUUUGACUCUCCUGCCUGGACCCAGCGUACAGAUGGGAUUGUGCUUCAUUGCUGGACCCAGCAUUUAGGGAUCGUCACUCCCGUGGAUGAUCAAAGGCGCCUGUAAUUUCAGCUACUCCGGGGGCUGAGGCAGGAGAAUCGCUUGAACUCGGGAAGCAGAAGUUGCAGUGAGCCAAGGUCGCACCACUGCACUCCAGCCCAGGCGACAUUGUGAGACUCCAUCUCAAAAAAAAAAAAAAGAAAAAAAGUGUACUAACAAGACCCAGCACACAGAGGAGACUUUUACCAUUGUAUGAACACCCAUCAAACAGUACACAUCAUCAUUGUGAGUUCUGAAUCUCACACAUAGAGGAAGUCAAAGGUGGAAAACUUGACUCUCAUAUUUGGAUCCAGUCCACAGGUUCUGCUAGCAAGGAAGACUGAGACAUAUUGUGGGGCUCUACGCCAAUGUGACAUUACUGUUCUGCCUUGGCCUGUACCUGAAAAGGCAUUGUGACAUAUUGCUGGGCCCAGCAACAAGGUGGCAUGAGUCUUCCGUAUGGACCCUGACAACAGAGCAUUGUGACAUAUCUUUAAGAGCAUCAACUAUUUGAUGUGACUCUCCUUUUCUACCAAGGCUUUCCUCAUAUGAGAGAUUGUGACACAUCUUCUGGCACAGAAAUCAAGUGAUGUGUUUCUCCUGCCUGAGCUUUGCUCAUAGAAAGCAUUGUGACAUAUCUCUGGUCUCAGCACCCAGGUGUGAUUUUGACGCACACUUCUGCCCAGCACCUGAGUAAUGUGAUUCUUCAGAAUUGGCCCGGCCCACAAAUAGGAUUGUGCCACACUGCUGGACCCAGUGCCUAAGUGAUGUAACUCUAUUCUUCUGCCUUGGUGCUACUCGAAAAAGACAUUGUAACAUAUCUCAGAGCCUUACACCCAGGUAAUGUGAGUCUCCUCUUCUGCCUUGCUGCUGCACACAGAAGCGGAAUAUGUACAGGAUUGUUAAUCUCAUCUUGGAUCUUCCUGCACUUGUGAUUGUGACACAUGCCUCUGUGUAGAACCUGAGUGAGUUUACUCUCCUGCCUGGAUUUAACCCAUAGAUGGAAUCGUGACAUAUCACUGUACCAGAAACUAGGUGAUGUGACUCUAUUUUCUUGCCUCUGUGUUUUUAUAUGGGGCAUCGUGACAUAUCACUGGGCCUUGCACCCAAGUGAUGGGAGUUUUCUCUCCUGCUUUGGUGCCGUCCACAAUGAAAAUUGUGAAAUAUUGCUGCCCUCCCCACUAGGUUAUGUUACUCUCCUGCCUCUGCUUUGCCCACAUGGGUCACUGUGACAUAUUGCUGGGUCUAAAACCCAGGUAAUGUCACUCUCUUGUUUGGGUUCUGCCUGCAGGAGUCAUUGUCACAUAUCUCUAUGCUCAUCACCCAGGUAAUAUGAUUCCCUUUUACUGCUUAGUUCCUUCUCACAAAACAACUUGUGACAUAUUGCUAGGCCCAAUACACCUAGCUGGUGUAACUCUUCUUUUCUUUUCUUUCCUUUUUUUUUUUUUUUUUUUGAGAUGGAGUCUCACUCUGUUGCCCAGGCUGGAGUGCAGCGGCAUGAUUUCAGCUCACUACAGCCUCUGCCUCCUAGGUUGAAGCGAUUGUCCUGACUUGGCCUCCCAAGUAGCUGGGAUUAAAGGCAUGUGCCACCACGCCCGGCUAAUUUUUGUAUUUAUAGUAGAGACAGGGUUUCGCCAUGUUGGCUAGGCUGGUUUCGAACUUCUAACCUCAGGUGAUCCUCCUGCCUCGGCCUCCCAAAGUACUGGAAUUACAGGCAUGAGCCACUGCACCUGGCCUGAUUCUUCUCUUCUUUCUAGGUUUCAACUGCAGCAGAGAUUGUAACAAACCACUGGGCCCAGCCGCAUAAUGAUGUUACUCUUUUGCCUUGGGCCUGCCCUCAGAAGGCACUGUCACAUAUUCAUGGGCCCAACGCCAAGGUGAUAUGUGUCUCCAGCCUGGACCCUGCCCACAGGGGGCAUUGUGACAUAUCUCUUGGCCCAUCAGAUGUUUGAUUGUUAUCCCCUCCCCUCUUCUACCCUGUGUUUGCCUAUAAAAGACACAGUCAUAUGUUCCUGGGCCCAGCACCUAGGUGUUGUCUUACUGGAAUGUGUCCACAUGGGGAUUGUGAUAUGUCACGUGGCCCAGUACUUAACUUGAUGUGACUCUCCUCUCAUGCCUAGGCCUUGUAGAGAAUCCCCUUCCCCUUUUGUUUUCCUUUUUUUCUUUGCAGAUCCAGGAGAUAAUCAACUAAGAGCCAGGCACCCGUUUAGGUCUAAUAAACAUUUUACAAACUGCUCUCUCUUUUAAUUCACCUAUCUGAGAGAUUCCUCUGUACAAUAAAACUUGGUCUCCACAAUCCUUUACCUUAACCUAAACCUUCCCUUUCAUUGAUCCCAGGUCUUCAGAUUCCACCACUUGUCAACCACAAAAUAUUUAAAUUUACCUGGAAGCCGCCCGCUUUGAGUUGUCCCGCCUUUCUGAACCAAACCAAUAUAUUCCUGCAAAACCGGCCAUGAUUAAAACAUCAAAAAAUAAUACAUGUUGGCGUGGCUGUGGUGAAAAAAGAAUACUUUUUCACUGCUGGUGGGUAUGUAAACUAGUACAACCACUAUGAAAAACAGUAUGGAGAUUCAUUAAAUAAAAGUAAAGCUACCAUUUGAUUAAGCAAUUCUACUACUGUGUAUCUACAUGAAGAAAAAGAAAUUAUAUGUGUAAGACACUUGCACACACAUGUUUAUAGCAGCACAAUUUGCAAUUGCAAAAAUAUGGAAGCAGCCUAAUGCCCAUCAGCUAAUGAGUGGAAAAAGAAAAUGUGGCAUAUAUAUACCAAUGCAUACUACUCAGCCCUAACGAGGAAUAAAAUAAUAGCAUUUGCAGCAAUCUCGAUUUAGUUGGAGACCAUUAUUCUAAGUAACUCAGCAAUAAAAAA
rnacentral:lncRNA from 10 species